GGUCUGAAGAGUAAACCCAAGGAAGAAGCUACAACACUACUUUUUCCCAACCUCUGCAUGAAUCAGUCAUGGCUGAAGACAACAGGUCAUGCUAGGUCUCCGAACAAUGGGAAAAAGCACAGGUUUCUAGAGAAGUU